rnacentral:piRNA from 1 species
UGCUUAGACUUUCUUUGAUAUAAAGAAACA